rnacentral:piRNA from 1 species
AGUGGAGAUAGAGGUCAAAUCCCC